UACGGAGGGUGCAAGCGUUAUCCGGAUUCACUGGGUUUAAAGGGUGCGUAGGCGGACAGGUAAGUCAGUGGUGAAAUCUCCGGGCUUAACCCGGAAACUGCCGUUGAUACUAUUUGUCUUGAAUAUUGUGGAGGUAAGCGGAAUAUGUCAUGUAGCGGUGAAAUGCUUAGAUAUGACAUAGAACACCAAUUGCGAAGGCAGCUUACUACACAAUGAUUGACGCUGAGGCACGAAAGCGUGGGGAUCAAACAGG
rnacentral:rRNA from 1 species